rnacentral:rRNA from 1 species
UCNUCUGGCUUAACUGGGGGCUUGCGGUGGGUACGGGCCGGCUUGAGUGCGGUAGGGGAGACUGGAACUCCUGGUGUAGCGGUGGAAUGCGCAGAUAUCAGGAAGAACACCGGUGGCGAAGGCGGGUCUCUGGGCCGUUACUGACGCUGAGGAGCGAAAGCGUGGGGAGCGAACAGGAUUAGAUACCCUGGUAGUCCACGCCGUAAACGUUGGGCACUAGGUGUGGGGGGGCCUUUUCCGGGUCUUCCGCGCCGUAGCUAACGCAUUAAGUGCCCCGCCUGGGGAGUACGGCCGCAAGGCUAAAACUCAAAGGAAUUGACGGGGGCCCGCACAAGCGGCGGAGCAUGCGGAUUAAUUCGAUGCAACGCGAAGAACCUUACCAAGGCUUGACAUGUGCCGGUCGGCUCCGGAGACGGGGCUUCCUCCUUGUGGGGCCGGUUCACAGGUGGUGCAUGGUUGUCGUCAGCUCGUGUCGUGAGAUGUUGGGUUAAGUCCCGCAACGAGCGCAACCCUUGUCCCGUGUUGCCAGCACGUUGUGGUGGGGACUCGCGGGAGACUGCCGGGGUCAACUCGGAGGAAGGUGGGGAUGACGUCAAAUCAUCAUGCCCCUUAUGUCUUGGGCUUCACGCAUGCUACAAUGGCCGGUACAGAGGGCUGCGAUACCGUGAGGUGGAGCGAAUCCCUUAAAGCCGGUCUCAGUUCGGAUCGGUGUCUGCAACUCGACACCGUGAAGUUGGAGUCGCUAGUAAUCGCAGAUCAGCAACGCUGCGGUGAAUACGUUCUCGGGCCUUGUACACACCGCCCGUCACGUCAUGAAAGUCGGCAACACCCGAAGCCCGUGGCCCUACGGGGAGCGGUCGAAGGUGGG